rnacentral:ncRNA from 1 species
AAUAAAACUAUGAAAAGGAAGAGUAAAUAAUAAACUACUUUAAAGAGAGAGGAAUUCCGUGGCUGAAAUAUUCCUUGAGGAAGAAUUAUUGAAAACCACCUUUGAGUUGUAUACUGAAAUUCUUAUUAGGUAUUUCCGCAGAUCUGCGUUAUGGAUAUGGAGAUAACAGUAUAAAAAUUGUAAUAAGUAUAAUAUUAUCUAUUAAUACACAUGAUUUGGGGUAUGUGUAUUAAAUAAUUUUAAUUAAAUAUUACUGUUAAUUUGGGUGGAAUCGCGAUAAAACUCGUCCCAUGU